AGAGUUUGAUCCUGGCUCAGGAUGAACGCUGGCGGCGUGCCUAAUACAUGCAAGUCGAGCGAACGGACGAGAAGCUUGCUUCUCUGAUGUUAGCGGCGGACGGGUGAGUAACACGUGGAUAACCUACCUAUAAGACUGGGAUAACUUCGGGAAACCGGAGCUAAUACCGGAUAAUAUUUUGAACCGCAUGGUUCAAAAGUGAAAGACGGUCUUGCUGUCACUUAUAGAUGGAUCCGCGCUGCAUUAGCUAGUUGGUAAGGUAACGGCUUACCAAGGCAACGAUGCAUAGCCGACCUGAGAGGGUGAUCGGCCACACUGGAACUGAGACACGGUCCAGACUCCUACGGGAGGCAGCAGUAGGGAAUCUUCCGCAAUGGGCGAAAGCCUGACGGAGCAACGCCGCGUGAGUGAUGAAGGUCUUCGGAUCGUAAAACUCUGUUAUUAGGGAAGAACAUAUGUGUAAGUAACUGUGCACAUCUUGACGGUACCUAAUCAGAAAGCCACGGCUAACUACGUGCCAGCAGCCGCGGUAAUACGUAGGUGGCAAGCGUUAUCCGGAAUUAUUGGGCGUAAAGCGCGCGUAGGCGGUUUUUUAAGUCUGAUGUGAAAGCCCACGGCUCAACCGUGGAGGGUCAUUGGAAACUGGAAAACUUGAGUGCAGAAGAGGAAAGUGGAAUUCCAUGUGUAGCGGUGAAAUGCGCAGAGAUAUGGAGGAACACCAGUGGCGAAGGCGACUUUCUGGUCUGUAACUGACGCUGAUGUGCGAAAGCGUGGGGAUCAAACAGGAUUAGAUACCCUGGUAGUCCACGCCGUAAACGAUGAGUGCUAAGUGUUAGGGGGUUUCCGCCCCUUAGUGCUGCAGCUAACGCAUUAAGCACUCCGCCUGGGGAGUACGACCGCAAGGUUGAAACUCAAAGGAAUUGACGGGGACCCGCACAAGCGGUGGAGCAUGUGGUUUAAUUCGAAGCAACGCGAAGAACCUUACCAAAUCUUGACAUCCUUUGACAACUCUAGAGAUAGAGCCUUCCCCUUCGGGGGACAAAGUGACAGGUGGUGCAUGGUUGUCGUCAGCUCGUGUCGUGAGAUGUUGGGUUAAGUCCCGAAACGAGCGCAACCCUU
rnacentral:rRNA from 1 species